GGAUUGUGGCUCAGCGGUAGAGCGCUCGCCUAGCACGGGAGGGACCCGGGUUGGAUCCUCAGCACCA
rnacentral:tRNA from 1 species